AUUAGAGUUUGAUCCUGGCUCAGAUUGAACGCUGGCGGCAUGCCUUACACAUGCAAGUCGAACGGCAGCACGGAGCUUGCUCUGGUGGCGAGUGGCGAACGGGUGAGUAAUAUAUCGGAACGUACCCUAGAGUGGGGGAUAACGUAGCGAAAGUUACGCUAAUACCGCAUACGAUCUAAGGUGAAAGUGGGGGAUCGCAAGACCUCAUGCUCGUGGAGCGGCCGAUAUCUGAUUAGCUAGUUGGUAGGGUAAAAGCCUACCAAGGCAUCGAUCAGUAGCUGGUCUGAGAGGACGACCAGCCACACUGGAACUGAGACACGGUCCAGACUCGUUGGUAGGGUAAAAGCCUACCAAGGCAUCGAUCAGUAGCUGGUCUGAGAGGACGACCAGCCACACUGGAACUGAGACACGGUCCAGACUCCUACGGGAGGCAGCAGUGGGGAAUUUUGGACAAUGGGCGAAAGCCUGAUCCAGCAAUGCCGCGUGAGUGAAGAAGGCCUUCGGGUUGUAGUCAUUUGUCAGGGAAGAAACGGUGAGAGCUAAUAUC
rnacentral:rRNA from 1 species